GGUGCUGUUUAGUUGCUAAGUGUCCAACUUUUCUGUGACAUCAUGGACUGUAGCCCACCAGGCCUCUCUGUCCAUGGGAUUUUUCAGUUGUGCUCGGCUGAGUCUCAUGGCUAUAGAUGGAGCAAAGGAGCUAAAAUGAAGUAGGAAUUGGAAGAACAGAGGAGAAAAACUGGAUUUUUGCCACCAAUAUUCAUCCUUCACUUACCCUGAAGACCAUUUUCUAAGACGGAGGCAUGAAAGGAAAGAAGGAUCAUUUAAAGCAAAAAAUGGCUUCCAUUUAUCUCUUACACGACAUGAAUAAAACAGACGUACCAGGUAGGUCCUCAGCUUGUGCUCGUUUCUUAUGGCAGUCCUAGGAAACUAAUAUGUCCAGUAUAUCCAACUGUGAUGUCAAAUUCCUGUCUGAAGAUAAGCACCAACUGCCAUCCUUGAAGCUCCGCCUGCCUUAGACAAGGUUUUGAGGAACAAAAUUAAAAUCAUUAAAUGAGCCAUAGAGUUUACUAUUAAUGUAUGAUUCUGAUGAUCACAACCUGAAUAAAGAAAAAAGAUAUUUCUAGCAAGAAUAAGGUAAGUGGUCAUGUUGGUUUCCUGGGAAAAUAAUAAUGUAUUCUUGGAAGCACCACUAAUUAUUCAUAAAUUUUAAAAAUACCUGUAUAAAGAGCAAGGAAGCACAUGAAUUUGUCAGGGAAAGAAAAGAGCAAAGCAGGAAAUGAGGAAGAUGUGACUUAUGGAAAAGCAGCAGUAAGAAGAGGCAUGAAAAUGAAGUGAAAGUCGCUCAGUCAUGUCUGACUGUUUGCGACCCUAUGGACUAUACAGUCCAGUGAACUGUCCAGGCCAGAAUACUGGAGUGGGUAGCCUUUCCCUUCUCAACCCAGGGACAGAACCCAGGUCUCCUACAUUGCAGGCAGAUUCUUUACCAGCUGAGCCACAAGAGAAGAGGAGGCAGAGUGAGAAGUAACUGAGGAAAGUGUAUUUUUACCAUCAUUCUUGCUCUCUGACAACUUUAGUUUUCAGCUCUGUUUAUCAGAUUGUUGUAUAAUUUAUCAAAUUUAUUUUUUAGGCUUUCAUAUUUCAUAAUUUGUUGUUUAAAAAAUACUUGCUAAUCCCCUCACAUCUUUCAGUUGUUUGUCCAGAUAUCAUCUUGUCAGGCAGUCCACUGACUGCUCACAUUCUGUGACCUGACAGCCCUCCCCGGUCCCUGUACUUCAGAGCUCUCUAGUCCUGUUCCACCUAUUUAUCUUAUCAUCAUGCUUAUCGCCUUCUAGGAAGAUUUGUAGUUUACUUAUUGUUUUUACUUCAGUCUGCCUCCACCUCCUUCUCCUAAAACAGAAGCUCCUUGAAUUCACAUAUCUUAGUCACUGAUGAAUCCCAAAAACCUAAGGCUGUCUGCUGUAUAACAGAUGCCCAAUGGUUACUUCAUUUUUUAAAAUGAGUAAGUAUAUUUUCUUUAAAAUUAAUAACCUGAACCUGUUGUGGCACUUACAGGACUAUGUUUUACUCGGUAUGUAUGUGUGUGUGUGUAUUUGUGUGUAUGUGUAUGUGAGUAAUGAGUAAAACACACACACACACACACACACACACACACAUAUAUAUAUAUAUAUAUAUAUAUAUGAAAUGAAUAAAAAAGUGAAAGUGUUAGUUACUCAGUUGUGUCCAACUCUGUGACCCUACCUGACCUACCUGCCCAUAGGAUUCUCCAGGCAAGAAUACUGGAGUGGGUUGCCAUUCCCUUUUCCAGGGGAUCUUCCCAACCCAGGGAUAGAACCCAGG
ensembl:lncRNA